rnacentral:rRNA from 1 species
CCCGCUGAACUUAAGCAUAUCAAUAAGCGGAGGAAAAGAAACUAACAAGGAUUCCCCUAGUAACGGCGAGUGAAGCGGGAGAAGCUCAAAUUUAAAAUCUGGCGCUUUCAGCGUCCGAGUUGUAGUCUCGAGAAGUGUUUUCUGUACUGCCCGCUUGUAAGUCUGUUGGAAUACAGCGUCACAGUGGUGAGAACCCAGUACGCAACGCGGCGCCAGUGCUUUGUGAUACACUUUCGAAGAGUCGAGUUGUUUGGGAAUGCAGCUCAAAAUGGGUGGUAAAUUCCAUCUAAGGCUAAAUAUUGGUGAGAGACCGAUAGCAAACAAGUACCGUGAGGGAAAGAUGAAAAGCACUUUGGAAAGAGAGUUAACAGUACGUGAAAUUGUUGAAAGGGAAGCGCUUGAAGUCAGUCGCGUCUGCCGGGACUCAGCCUUGCUUCUGCUUGGUGCAUUUUCCGGUUGACGGGCCAGCAUCGAUUUUGACCGUUGGAAAAAGGUGGAGGGAAUGUGGCACCUUCGGGUGUGUUAUAACCCCCCAUCGUAUACAACGGUUGGGAUCGAGGACCGCAGCACGCCUUAUGGCCGGGGUUCGCCCACGUUCGUGCUUAGGAUGCUGGCGUAAUGGCUUUAAGCGACCCGUCUUGAAACACGG